rnacentral:rRNA from 1 species
GCUCUCUGGGUGGCGAGUGGCGGACGGGUGAGGAAUACAUCGGAAUCUACCUUUUCGUGGGGGAUAACGUAGGGAAACUUACGCUAAUACCGCAUACGACCUUAGGGUGAAAGCGGAGGACCUUCGGGCUUCGCGCGGAUAGAUGAGCCGAUGUCGGAUUAGCUAGUUGGCGGGGUAAAGGCCCACCAAGGCGACGAUCCGUAGCUGGUCUGAGAGGAUGAUCAGCCACACUGGAACUGAGACACGGUCCAGACUCCUACGGGAGGCAGCAGUGGGGAAUAUUGGACAAUGGGCGCAAGCCUGAUCCAGCCAUGCCGCGUGGGUGAAGAAGGCCUUCGGGUUGUAAAGCCCUUUUGUUGGGAAAGAAAAGCAGUCGGUUAAUACCCGAUUGUUCUGACGGUACCCAAAGAAUAAGCACCGGCUAACUUCGUGCCAGCAGCCGCGGUAAUACGAAGGGUGCAAGCGUUACUCGGAAUUACUGGGCGUAAAGCGUGCGUAGGUGGUUGUUUAAGUCCGUUGUGAAAGCCCUGGGCUCAACCUGGGAAUUGCAGUGGAUACUGGGCAACUAGAGUGUGGUAGAGGAUGGCGGAAUUCCCGGUGUAGCAGUGA